AAAUCUUUAACUUCAACGGAAAAUAAUAUCCAAUCUGUUCGAUCGAAUGCCUGCAUGCAGUUCAUUCAUUUUGCCGGUAAUUCCCAACCAUAGAGAAACUCAUUGUCUAUGUCUUUUAACAUUUUGACUGCCCAAUUUUUUACAAAGCAACGGCUCAUUCUCAUUCAAUAGAUUGAGACAUGCGCACAGAAUAAAACAAUUAAGAAUGUUAACUAAUUUUGAUUAUUACCACCCAAUAGUCUCUGUCAAAAUAAAAAAUACUAGUGAAAGAAUUACUUCAAUAUGUCAAUUAGUUUCCGAUUUAGAAGUAAAAGAAGUUGUAACAUGAUGCCGGUUCGAUUGUGACGUCGUCGCACAACACGCUCAGUCUGGCUCACAGCUCUCUCGGUCCGCCGGCGCUGGCGGUCCCGCGCCCGUAUCGUUGUAAUUAUACUUUUAAUAAUGUCCAAUCCAACUACUUGGAAAUCAUGUGUUGUGCCUAAAUGUAAAAAUACAACUACCAAUUCACCGGCCACAUUGAUUUUCAUAGUUCCAAAGGACGUUAAAAUGCGAAAAAAUUUGAUAACAGCUAUGAAGAGGUUAGAUCCAUUUGGAGAUAAAAGUACAGUUAUUUGUUGUGAAGACCCUUUUGACGUACAUUGAAAAUGAUAUGGAGAACUAUACUAAAUAAAAAAUGGUCGGAGGAAGUAUUAAACUAAAACAGGGUAUAGUUCCACACAAAUUCAAAUGUCAACAGGAAAAGGAAGAUAAAACUCACAAAUCUGCAGUACAAAAACGUAAUCGUAUAGAAUAUUUUGAUAAACUACUAAUUAAAGAUGAAACUUCGAUGUUAGAACAACCUGAAAAGAUUCUUGUUAGCUGUGAAGACGAAAUAGUAAUAAAAGGUCCAUUACGUUCUAGAAAUAAUAAUCAGUGUUUAGAAAUAUUACAAAAAAGCAAGGGAGUGCAAGUAAAUCUGAAAGCUAAAGGUGACCAUAAAUCAACCAUGACUGUUAACAAAUUUAAAAAAAAAUAUAUGAAAAUAAUUUUUUGCAGUGUGUUUUGGUAGUAUGAACGACACAUUUCCGAACGCCUCUUCUCAUGAAAUGUUUCACCUUGAUCAAGAAUCGAAGAACCUUAAUGAAGAUUCAGAUUCAGAAACGGAAACGGAAUGCGAUACACUUUUUUUGAAUUUAUAUGCAAAAGACGGGGUUUUAUUAAUAGAAUGAUAUUUACUAUUAUUAAACUAUUAACUUAAUACGCCCACGAAAACCAAUCCAACAAAACACUGAGCCAUCUAUUACACCUACUAUAACCGCUGGCGACUUGAUACUGAGCGAGCGAGUUGUGAAAUGACGUCACAAGUGGUCACGUGACUGUUGGUGGCACUCGAUUUUUUUCGAAACUUUGAAUGCCUAUAACAUCACAACUGCUAGGUUUUUUUUAGAACAACAAAAACUAGUAUUUUUGUAUACUUACAGGCUUUACUGACACAACAUUUCAAGAGAUUUUUCAUACCUAGUAACAUUCUUUCCUGAUUCCAAAAGAUAAAACCGAUGUUCAAGUGUCUCAUGAGGCUACUUCUCUUGUCUAACCGUUAAAUGAUUUCAGCUCCAUAGUUUCAUUGUUUGUUUGGGGUGACAUACUUUUUCACAAUUUAUCACGUAAGAAAAUCACUGCAAUCUACAGAUAUUUAUCUCAGUAAAUGUACAGAAAAUUUGAGAAACUGCUGCAAUGUCUUGGGAUACUAUAGAAUCUCCGACAAGGAUUCGGAGUGUCAAACGUCAAGCUGGUGAAAUUGCACGCGAUGACUUAUAGCUUCUCGACAAGAAUAAAAUUGAGGUUGAAUUUUUGAACAGCCUUUUGAUUACUAAAUUAAUUUCAGUCAAGGAAAGAUUCGAACAGUUAAAUGAGUAGUCGGAUAACUGAUCUUUUUGUAACUGUAGUCUAAUAUCUUUUUUGCGCGACUAGAAUGGGGUUACUCUUAUUUGUUAUAAAUUUCGAAUAUCGCAACUUAAUAGAAGUGCAUCCAAAUGUAUGGGGCACUGCGAAUAUUAUUGAAUAUACCAGUAACGGCCGCUAGUGGGAAUAGAAGUUUUUAAAGCCGAAGCUCAUGAAAACCUAUCUUCGAUCAAAGAUGUCUCAACAACAAAAGUUGCUAACUUCGUAUAGUGUGGGAAGAAUCCUCUCCUAAGCUUUAUGAUCAAAGAAAAAAAUUGACAUAACUUCAUUAAACUACGAAAAUAUAAUUAUUGAAUAUAAGCAUAAAUGCAUUAUCUUUAUGUUUAGAGCAUCACAUAAAGCAUUUUGUUAUUUAUCUCAAGUAUUACGGUGUCUAAAUAUCAAUGUUUUUAUGCUACUUUAUAAGAGAUGAAAAUCAAAUGAAAGUAACCAGAGAAAACAGUGUCCAUUUUA